ACUUUCAGCCAGGAGGAAAGGGUGUGUUUUAAUAGNNNNUAUCUGUGACGUUACUGACAGAAGAAGCACCGGCUAACUCCGUGCCAGCAGCCGCGGUAAUACGGAGGGUGCGAGCGUUAAUCGGAAUUACUGGGCGUAAAGCGCGCGCAGGCGGUUAGUUAAGUGAGAUGUGAAAGCCCCGGGCUCAACCUGGGAACUGCAUUUGAAACUGGNNNACUAGAGUGUNNUAGAGGGUGGUAGAAUUUCAGGUGUAGCGGUGAAAUGCGUAGAGAUCUGAAGGAAUACCGAUGGCGAAGGCAGCCACCUGGACCAACACUGACGCUCNUGNNNGAAAGCGUGGGGAGCAAACAGGAUUAGAUACCCU
rnacentral:rRNA from 1 species